AUGGCAGCAACAAAGAUGUUGUCGCCAUACGACAUGGUGGAGCCGAUGUCGUAUCUGUGCGUGAGCGUGGUGAAGGCGCGGGACCUGCCCACCAUGGACAUCACCAGCGUGCUACACCCCUACGUGGAGGUGAAACUAGGGAACUUCAAGGGCGUGACACAAUGCCUGGAGAAGAACGCCAACCCGGUGUGGCAGCAGUUGUUCACCAUCUCUGGCGCCCACCUGCAGUCCAAUCAGCUGCAGGUUAUUGUCAAGCACAAGGACGUGCUCCGUGACGACUUUGUCGGUCGCGUCGUCUUUGACAUGUCCGACAUCCCCAACCACUCCCCGCCUCAUAGUUGGCCGGCCCCGCAGUGGCACCACCUUUCUGAUGCACGGGGCAAGAGGUUCCCACAUGGCCAUAGUCUCGGCGAGAUCAUGCUCGCCGUUUGUCUUGCCACACAGGUCGACGAGGCCUUGCCAGAGGCGUGGCACUCGGAAGCGCCCCCUCUCUCAUUUCAGGGGCUCACCAACACGCGCUCCAAGGUGUACUACUCCCCCAAGCUCAUCUACCUCAAGGUUGCCGUCAUUGCGGCACAAGACCUCAUCGGCACUGAGGAGGACCGACUGGCAGAAUCCGUCGCAAAGAUCCAGAUAGGCAGCCAGAUCAGGCGGACGCGGCCGGGGAAGCCACAGGGAUCCGUGAAUCCGACAUGGAAUGAAGAGUUCAUGUUCGUGGCCAGCGAGCCAUUUGAGGACGAGUUGGUGGUGACAGUGGAGGAGAAGGUCUGUGCCGGGAGGGCCGAGCCGAUUGGGCGCAUUAUCAUCCCUCUGGCAGACAACGUGCCGCGCAACGACCUGGCCAAGUCGGUGCCGUCCAAGUGGUUCAGCCUCUCGCAUGGGAUGAUGGAGAGCAAGGACAAGGAGUCAUUCAAGACGUUCGCCAGCAAGAUCCGUCUCAGGAUGAGCCUGGAGACGACGUACCACGUGAUGUACGAGUCCAUGAACUACAUCAGCGACCUGCAGCCGGCAGCGGGCUUUUGA
rnacentral:rRNA from 1 species